CAACGUUAAAGCUUGGGUGUUGACAGACAUGUUAAACAUUCAAGAAGAAGGCGUAGGUACGAAAAGUGUUGCAAUAAUAAGUUAUCAACACAGAGAUAUGAUAUUUUCAUACGCAAAGAAUGUUAUCCAAGUUGAACUGUCGAAAAUGGGCUUGCCUUUCUUUUUCAAAAGUAAGUUUGCAAAGAAUUCUGAAAUUUGGCAACAUUCGAUUGUCAUGCAAAUUUAUUUUUCAUUUCAACUUGAUAAGUUAUGAGGUAUCAGCCUAGUUCGUCUCAAGUAUUCCUUGGUUCAAGAGAAAUUCCCGCCUUUCCUUAGUUGGCCAAUGUUUGGAGUCAAAGGCCACGUUUUGAAUCCUACUCAUAACCGGCUCAGUAUGAAGGCGUUCCUUGAGAAAAGAAGACGAUUUUACCAAAGAGCUAUCUCAGUGAGGCCAUGAAACUGAAUUUAGUUAGCAUUGGGACUCUAUUGCUUAAUUAUUUUAUUGUUCAUCAUCACUCUUUCACAUCAACAAAGCCGUUGCCUGAUGAGAAGACAAGAAACUAGUAAGAGUUGACAGAUGAUCUUAGCUUGUCAAUUUGAAGACUUGUGCAGCCUGUUAAGAGCCAUGCUGAUUUAUCAGUAGCAGCAUGUUACGUUCAUUUGGCAAUUGAUGAGGAUGUUCAGCUAAAUCACAUGUCUACUUAGUUGUUUAAUGCUGCACGAGUAGCAAAAAAGAAAUGUUGGCAGCAGCAAUCUCUGAUUUCCAUCGUUCAGAAUUUUGCAAUUCAGAAAAUUUGAUCAAGGAGCAGGGACAAAAGUACCUGUUUUAUCCUACGCAUAAUUGCCAUGAAACAUUUGUCAGUAACCAUCACGACGUGAUAACUGAUGUGAUAACUGGUGUGUCAAAGUUAAUCACGGCAUAUGUCAUAGUAGUUUUCCAGACAGUUUAUUAAAUUUUUACGUAAAGCAUUAGUGUUGCAUGAACAACUUGUUUAUCCUCGCCUAAUAGCUCUGAAUGUCAAACUUGAUCCAUCCGUCUGUUACAGGAAAAAAUCUAGAGAAAGUGGGUGAAAUUUCCAGAAAAUUUCCGACUUGUCUGUUUGUGUCCUGUCUCCUCUCAACUUGUCGACAGGAGAUGGG